AGAUAUAUACGGUAAGAAAUUCAUUUAAUUAUUAAAUUCUCAUAUCAUCUCAUAUUAUUUUAUUGAACCUGUUACAAUAACAAAAUGUACCAUCCACCUUUGUCAUGUGUUUAUGUGUGUGGUUUCAAGACUUUAUUGCCAAAUGGUCUCGCUACAUCCUGCUCUGCAUCUGGAUUUUUGAUAUCGUCCUGAUAUUCACCAUUUAUCACUUGAGAACAACUUUUAGUAUCAGGAUGGAAAAUUACCGGAACAGACGCCAACAAGAGGACAGUGUCGACAACAGAGUAAGAGGCUCUACAAGCGAGGAGUCCACUUGAAGCAGUAAUUGAAAGAUAAAUAUCUGAUUGCUCUCACAUGUAGCAGCUUAAAAAAUAUUUAAAGUUCAGACAUUGAGUUAUUUCCUGUCCCUGCAACUACAACUGAUGAUUGUAUGUUUAUAUGGUACAAUAUUGAAUACCACAGAGGAAGUGCCUUCUAACGCCAGCUUAAACAGUGCAUAUCAGCAACAGAGGGAAACCGGACUGAUCCUGUUUACUGUAAAUCUACUUAAAAUAAGAUUUAUUGUGAGAAGAUAGAGGAGCAGACGAGAAUUAUGCACUCUGAAGAAGACUACUAUGGAAAAUGGUAUCGAUACUUCUUGUUCUGCGUUUGGAUUGUGGCCAUUAUACUGAUAUUUACCAUAUGUCACCUAAAAACACAGUUAACAGAAAUAUUUCAAAAUUACUACUUGGACAUAUGUCAAGACAAAGAAGACGACGGCGACAACGAAUAUGCCAACAGUGGUGCAAUCGGCUUUACAUGCUAGUUAGCCUUUUGAAUCAGUAACUACUUAAUGUCAAUUUGCUCUCAUACAAUUACAGCAGGUCAAAGAGAGAGACUUUAACUGGAGUAUACUUCACUGAAUGUUUUUUUUUCACUCCAUCAGCAAUAUAGCAAUAAUAGUGUCAUGUUAAGUGAUUCUGAUAAAUAAAAUGUCUGGUUUAGGUUAAUAUAAAGAAAUGUACCACAAUAGUAAUAAUCACCUCUUUUGUUCUUCUUGUCACAUAGUCUGAUAAAGAGUUUUCAUUAGGGCUCAUUUAAAAGUACCAUCUUAAUCGACCCAUUGUAUUAUAAACAACAAGAGUUGGUUAAAAAGAAGAACAAGAUGUUCAAGCUUAAAACGAUGUGUGAGACACAAGGCGUAAAAUGUGUUAGCACCAAGUGUGGCCAAUUUCUUUCAAAUUCUCAAGAAGGCUGCUAACUUGUUUCCUGGAUGCCUAAUUAGGUAGUGACUUCAGAGGCAUGAUUACUGCAGGGCACCUCAUAAUGUACAUAUCGCUGUCAACACUGCCAAUUUUACAUUGUCCUGUUUUGAGCAUGUUGUUGUAUGUUGUAGUAUUUUGCACUUGUCUGUAUUUUGCACACGUGCUGCUGAUGAUGUGGCAAUAAUAAAAAAGUGAAAAGACAGUAUAACUAUUUAAUCACUUGCAACAUAACUGUUAUGAUCACCAGUGAUCUAACAGUUACAGAUCGCUGGAAAACUACACAUCAGCCACUUUAACUACAACUCCCAGAAGUCAUUGUUCCAAUCACACCUGCCACAGCUGACAGUCAUCCAAAUAUUUGCACACACAGCUGAAGUUCAUCAUUGAAUGAUUACUUGGACUAUAUAUACACAACACACAUUCACACAAACUUUUCAGAGUCUGUUUUUUUUUUUUUUUUAGUCACAUUAUGAAGU